rnacentral:rRNA from 1 species
UACGUAGGCAGCGAGCGUUGUUCGGAAUUACUGGGCGUAAAGAGUGUGUAGGCGGUGCUCUAAGUUCGGUGUGAAAUCUCCCGGCUUAAUUGGGAGGGUGCGCCGGAAACUGGAGUGCUCGAGCGUGGGAGAGGAAAGCGGAAUUCCUGGUGUAGCGGUGAAAUGCGUAGAUAUCAGGAGGAACACCUGCGGUGUAGACGGCUUUCUGGACCAUUGCUGACGCUGAGACACGAAAGCGUGGGUAGCAAACAGG